rnacentral:rRNA from 1 species
CCUUUAUGUCAAACACACACAAUAACUAAAACUUUCAACAACGGAUCUCUUGGUUCUCGCAUCGAUGAAGAACGCAGCGAAUUGCGAUACGUAGUAUGACUUGCAGACGUGAAUCAUCGAAUCUUUGAACGCACAUUGCGCCUUGAGGCAUUCCUCAAGGCAUGCCUGUUUGGGCGUCGGCCCUUCUCAAGCCCCCCGGCUUGGUCUUUGCAAGAAAUCUCAACGCCCUUUGUCUAAGCACCAAAGGCCCCCAUUUCUUCCCCAAAUCAGGUAGGACUACCCGCUGAACUUAAGCAUAUCAAUAAGCGGAGGAAAAGAAACCAACAGGGAUUGCCUCAGUAACGGCGAGUGAAGCGGCAAAAGCUCAAAUUUGAAAUCCCUCGGGAGUUGUAAUUUGAAGGAGGUAGGCUACGCGCGGCAACGGCCCAAGUCCAUUGGAACAUGGCGCCAGGGAGGGUGAGAGCCCCGUCCGGCCACGCGCCGCGUCCGCAGUCUGCCCCCGACGAGUCGAGUUGUUUGGGAAUGCAGCUCAAAGUGGGUGGUAAAUUCCAUCUAAAGCUAAAUAUUGG